UACGUAGGGCGCAAGCGUUGUCCGGAAUUAUUGGGCGUAAAGAGCUCGUAGGCGGUCUGUCGCGUCUGUUGUGAAAACUCGAGGCUCAACCUCGGGCUUGCAGUGGAUACGGGCAGACUAGAGUGCGGUAGGGGAGACUGGAAUUCCUGGUGUAGCGGUGGAAUGCGCAGAUAUCAGGAGGAACACCGAUGGCGAAGGCAGGUCUCUGGGCCGUAACUGACGCUGAGGAGCGAAAGCGUGGGGAGCGAACAGG
rnacentral:rRNA from 1 species